GCAGUAGUGGUUCAGUAGUAGAAUUCUCACCUUCCACGUGGGGGUCCCAGGCUCAACUCCUGGCCAAUGCC
rnacentral:tRNA from 1 species